GACGAACGCUGGCGGCGUGCCUAACACAUGCAAGUCGAGCGGAGCCAUCCGAACAAUCCCUUCGGGGUGCGUUUGGGGAAGCUUAGCGGCGGACGGGUGAGUAACGCGUGAGAAACCUGCCUUUCAGUGGGGGACAACAGUUGGAAACGACUGCUAAUACCGCAUAAUGUUUCGAGAGGGCAUCCUUUGGAUACCAAAGCUUUAUGUGCUGAGAGAUGGUCUCGCGUCUGAUUAGCUAGUUGGCGGGGUAACGGCCCACCAUGGCGACGAUCAGUAGCCGGUCUGAGAGGAUGAACGGCCACAUUGGGACUGAGAUACGGCCCAGACUCCUACGGGAGGCAGCAGUGGGGAAUAUUGCGCAAUGGGGGCAACCCUGACGCAGCAACGCCGCGUGAAGGAAGAAGGCCUUCGGUUGUAACUCUUUGUCUAGGGAAUAAAGUACG
rnacentral:rRNA from 1 species